UAUAGUAAACUCGGGGGUAUUGUAGCGGGUGAUUUGGCUUGUUUUUUUGUCUUCAAAGAUGAUGUGCUAAUUACUUUGACGGUAUAGACGUUCUAUGCUUUUGCUGUCUAUACCAAUAACUGAAAGGCUAAAGAAGGUCAAGGUCAAAAGCAGCCGGAGAGCCCUGGGCUGAGAGUGGAAUGUUGAGUAAUUGUUAAAACACUAAUAGAAGUACAGUGUCUGUGCUUGUCAUAUCCCCUGCAGGAAGAAAUGAACAGACCAACGUUCCUUAAAGCCUUCCACCCCAGGUGAUAUGUACUCAUAUUCCGAGCUGGCGGGCUGUGGAGCUUUUCUUUCUGCUUUCCCAAGCUGUUUUCCCUUAGGGGAAGUGAAGCUAGAU